GGUUAAGCGACUAAGCGUACACGGUGGAUGCCCUGGCAGUCAGAGGCGAUGAAGGACGUGCUAAUCUGCGAAAAGCGUCGGUAAGGUGAUAUGAACCGUUAUAACCGGCGAUGUCCGAAUGGGGAAACCCAGUGCAAUUCGUUGCACUAUCGUUAACUGAAUACAUAGGUUAACGAGGCGAACCGGGGGAACUGAAACAUCUAAGUACCCCGAGGAAAAGAAAUCAACCGAGAUUCCCCCAGUAGCGGCGAGCGAACGGGGAGCAGCCCAGAGUCUGAAUCAGCUUGUGUGUUAGUGGAACGGUCUGGAAAGUCCGACGGUACAGGGUGAUAGUCCCGUACACCAAAAUGCACAGGUUGUGAACUCGAAGAGUAGGGCGGGACACGUGGUAUCCUGUCUGAAUAUGGGGGGACCAUCCUCCAAGGCUAAAUACUCCUGACUGACCGAUAGUGAACCAGUACCGUGAGGGAAAGGCGAAAAGAACCCCGGCGAGGGGAGUGAAAAAGAACCUGAAACCGUGUACGUACAAGCAGUGGGAGCACCUUCGGGUGUGACUGCGUACCUUUUGUAUAAUGGGUCAGCGACUUAUAUUCUGUAGCAAGGUUAACCGUAUAGGGGAGCCGCAGGGAAACCGAGUCUUAACUGGGCGUUAAGUUGCAGGGUAUAGACCCGAAACCCGGUGAUCUAGCCAUGGGCAGGUUGAAGGUUGGGUAACACUAACUGGAGGACCGAACCGACUAAUGUUGAAAAAUUAGCGGAUGACUUGUGGCUGGGGGUGAAAGGCCAAUCAAACCGGGAGAUAGCUGGUUCUCCCCGAAAGCUAUUUAGGUAGCGCCUCGUGAAUUCAUCUUCGGGGGUAGAGCACUGUUUCGGCUAGGGGUCAUCCCGACUUACCAACCCGAUGCAAACUACGAAUACCGAAGAAUGUUAUCACGGGAGACACACGGCGGGUGCUAACGUCCGUCGUGAAGAGGGAAACAACCCAGACCGCCAGCUAAGGUCCCAAAGUCAUGGUUAAGUGGGAAACGAUGUGGGAAGGCACAGACAGCCAGGAUGUUGGCUUAGAAGCAGCCAUCAUUUAAAGAAAGCGUAAUAGCUCACUGGUCGAGUCGGCCUGCGCGGAAGAUGUAACGGGGCUAAACCAUGCACCGAAGCUGCGGCAGCGACGCUUAUGCGUUGUUGGGUAGGGGAGCGUUCUGUAAGCCUGCGAAGGUGACCUGUGAGGGUUGCUGGAGGUAUCAGAAGUGCGAAUGCUGACAUAAGUAACGAUAAAGCGGGUGAAAAGCCCGCUCGCCGGAAGACCAAGGGUUCCUGUCCAACGUUAAUCGGGGCAGGGUGAGUCGACCCCUAAGGCGAGGCCGAAAGGCGUAGUCGAUGGGAAACAGGUUAAUAUUCCUGUACUUGGUGUUACUGCGAAGGGGGGACGGAGAAGGCUAUGUUAGCCGGGCGACGGUUGUCCCGGUUUAAGCAUGUAGGCUGGUUAUCCAGGCAAAUCCGGAUAAUCAAGGCUGAGGUGUGAUGACGAGGCACUACGGUGCUGAAGUAACAAAUGCCCUGCUUCCAGGAAAAGCCUCUAAGCAUCAGGUAACACGAAAUCGUACCCCAAACCGACACAGGUGGUCAGGUAGAGAAUACCAAGGCGCUUGAGAGAACUCGGGUGAAGGAACUAGGCAAAAUGGUGCCGUAACUUCGGGAGAAGGCACGCUGGUGUGUAGGUGAAGUCCCUGCGGAUGGAGCUGAGACCAGUCGAAGAUACCAGCUGGCUGCAACUGUUUAUUAAAAACACAGCACUGUGCAAACACGAAAGUGGACGUAUACGGUGUGACGCCUGCCCGGUGCCGGAAGGUUAAUUGAUGGGGUUAUCCGUAAGGAGAAGCUCUUGAUCGAAGCCCCGGUAAACGGCGGCCGUAACUAUAACGGUCCUAAGGUAGCGAAAUUCCUUGUCGGGUAAGUUCCGACCUGCACGAAUGGCGUAAUGAUGGCCAGGCUGUCUCCACCCGAGACUCAGUGAAAUUGAACUCGCUGUGAAGAUGCAGUGUACCCGCGGCAAGACGGAAAGACCCCGUGAACCUUUACUAUAGCUUGACACUGAACAUUGAGCCUUGAUGUGUAGGAUAGGUGGGAGGCUUUGAAGCGUGGACGCCAGUCUGCGUGGAGCCAACCUUGAAAUACCACCCUUUAAUGUUUGAUGUUCUAACGUUGGCCCCUGACCGGGGUUGCGGACAGUGUCUGGUGGGUAGUUUGACUGGGGCGGUCUCCUCCCAAAGCGUAACGGAGGAGCACGAAGGUUAGCUAAUCCUGGUCGGACAUCAGGAGGUUAGUGCAAUGGCAUAAGCUAGCUUGACUGCGAGCGUGACGGCGCGAGCAGGUGCGAAAGCAGGUCAUAGUGAUCCGGUGGUUCUGAAUGGAAGGGCCAUCGCUCAACGGAUAAAAGGUACUCCGGGGAUAACAGGCUGAUACCGCCCAAGAGUUCAUAUCGACGGCGGUGUUUGGCACCUCGAUGUCGGCUCAUCACAUCCUGGGGCUGAAGUAGGUCCCAAGGGUAUGGCUGUUCGCCAUUUAAAGUGGUACGCGAGCUGGGUUUAGAACGUCGUGAGACAGUUCGGUCCCUAUCUGCCGUGGGCGCUGGAGAAUUGAGGGGGGCUGCUCCUAGUACGAGAGGACCGGAGUGGACGCAUCACUGGUGUUCGGGUUGUCAUGCCAAUGGCACUGCCCGGUAGCUAAAUGCGGAAGAGAUAAGUGCUGAAAGCAUCUAAGCACGAAACUUGCCCCGAGAUGAGUUCUCCCUGAGACUUUAAGUCUCCUGAAGGAACGUUGAAGACGACGACGUUGAUAGGCCGGGUGUGUAAGCGCAGCGAUGCGUUGAGCUAACCGGUACUAAUGAACCGUGAGGCUUAACCUU
rnacentral:rRNA from 1 species